rnacentral:rRNA from 1 species
AUCAGGUAGGAACUCA